rnacentral:rRNA from 1 species
AGCGAACGCUGGCUGCAGGCCUAACACACGCAAGUCGAACGAACCUUUCGGGGUUAGUGGCGGACGGGUGAGUAACACGUGGGAACGUGCCUUUAGGUUCGGAAUAACUCAGGGAAACUUGUGCUAAUACCGAAUGUGCCCUUCGGGGGAAAGAUUUAUCGCCUUUAGAGCGGCCCGCGUCUGAUUAGCUAGUUGGUUGAGGUAAUGGCUCACCAAGGCGACGAUCAGUAGCUGGUCUGAGAGGAUGAUCAGCCACAUUGGGACUGAGACACGGCCCAAACUCCUACGGGAGGCAGCAGUGGGGAAUCUUGCGCAAUGGGCGAAAGCCUGACGCAGCCAUGCCGCGUGAAUGAUGAAGGUCUUAGGAUUGUAAAAUUCUUUCACCGGGGACGAUAAUGACGGUACCCGGAGAAGAAGCCCCGGCUAACUUCGUG